rnacentral:rRNA from 1 species
UACAGAGGGUGCAAGCGUUAAUCGGAAUUACUGGGCGUAAAGCGCACGUAGGUGGGCAUUUAAGUCGGAUGUGAAAGCCCCGGGCUCAACCUGGGAACUGCAUUCGAGACUGGAUGCCUUGAGUAUGGUAGAGGAAAGUGGAAUUUCCGGUGUAGCGGUGAAAUGCGUAGAUAUCGGAAGGAACACCAGUGGCGAAGGCGGCUUUCUGGACCAAUACUGACACUGAGGUGCGAAAGCGUGGGGAGCAAACAGG